rnacentral:rRNA from 1 species
UACGGGAGGCAGCAGUGGGGAAUAUUGCACAAUGGGCGCAAGCCUGAUGCAGCCAUGCCGCGUGUAUGAAAAAGGCCUUCGGGUUGUAAAGUACUUUCAGUCGUGAGGAAGGUGUUAAGGUUAAUAACCUUAGCAAUUGACGUUAGCGACAGAAGAAGCACCGGCUAACUCCGUGCCAGCAGCCGCGGUAAUACGGAGGGUGCGAGCGUUAAUCGGAAUUACUGGGCGUAAAGGGCACGCAGGCGGUUAAUUAAGUUGGAUGUGAAAUCCCCGGGCUUAACCUGGGAAUGGCAUUCAAGACUGGUUAGCUAGAGUCUUGUAGAGGGGGUAGAAUUCCGAUGUGUAGCGGUGAAAUGCGUAGAGAUGUGGAGGAAUACCGGUGGCGAAGGCGGCCCCUGGACAAAGACUGACGCUCAUGUGCGAAAGCGUGGGGAGCGAAAC